UACGGGGGGGGCAAGCGUUGUUCGGAAUUACUGGGCGUAAAGGGCUCGUAGGUGGCCAACUAAGUCGGACGUGAAAUCCCUCAGCUUAACUGGGGAACUGCGUCCGAUACUGGAUGGCUUGAGUUUGGGAGAGGGAUGCGGAAUUCCAGGUGUAGCGGUGAAAUGCGUAGAUAUCAGGAGGAACACCGGUGGCGAAGGCGGGUCUCUGGGCCGAUACUGACGCUGAGGAGCGAAAGCGUGGGGAGCGAACAGG
rnacentral:rRNA from 1 species